rnacentral:rRNA from 1 species
AUGGUAGGCACAAAGCUAGUAGCCCUCGGCUAUGUUGUCCUCUUGAGCAUUGGACUGGCCAAUGCUGCAAGGGUGGUUAGAUUCGGCAGUGGAAGCGCCACGGGAACGGGAGCGGGAGGAGGAGAGGGUGGGGGAACUGUGAGUGGUGGUGGCUCGGGUGCUGGGAGUGGAACUGGGUCUGGCGUGAGUUCUAAUAGUGGUAGCCAUGCAAGCGGUGGAGGUGGAGGUGGCGGUGGAGGCGGCGGCCAAAAUGGUGGAACUGGAUAUGGUAGCGGGUCCGGCUCUGGCUCCGGUUCUAGUCAAUAUAGUCAAGGAUCUUCAUAUCCUUAUGGUGGUGGCUAUGGUGGAUAUACUAGCGCUGGCGGUGCCGGUGGCGGUGGUGGUGGAGGGCAAGCUAGUGGUUAUCAAGGAUCUAGUGGGUAUGGGGCUGGUAGUGGCACUGGUUCCGGCUCAGCUACUGCUACUAACAAUUGGUAUAGACAAGGUAGUACAAAUGCAGAUGCUGGUGGAAACGGUGGUGGUAAUGGCGGAGGAAGAAAUGGUGGGCAUGGUGCAGGCAAAGGUGCUGGAUCUGGGCAUGGCAAUGCCUACCCCUAG